GGGGAGCGCGCCGAGCGGGAAGACUCGGACGGACAUGGCAACCACAGAGAGAGCAGCCCUUUUCUUUCCCCCUUGGAGGCUUCCAGAGGAAGUGACUACUAUGACAGGAACCUGGCACUGUUUGAGGAAGAGCUGGACAUCCGCCCAAAGGUAUCGUCUCUUCUGGGAAAGCUCGUCAGCUACACCAACCUCACCCAGGGCGCCAGAGAGCAUGAGGAGGCUGAGAGUGGGGAGGGCACCCGCCGGAGGGCAGCCAAGGCACCCAGCAUGGGCACCCUCAUGGGGGUGUACUUGCCCUGCCUGCAGAAUAUCUUUGGGGUUAUCCUCUUUCUGCGGCUGACCUGGAUGGUGGGCACGGCAGGUGUGCUACAGGCCCUCCUCAUUGUGCUCAUCUGCUGCUGUUGUACCCUGCUGACGGCCAUCUCCAUGAGUGCCAUCGCCACCAACGGUGUGGUUCCAGGUCAGUGAGCGCCACCCAAGGCCUGGUGGAAGAGAAAAGGACCCAGUAUCUGCCUUAACCUACCUGGGAACCCCCAUAGCACACCCCUGCCCCAAGCAGUUCUGUAGUGUGCUCCCAAUCCCUGAUGCCAGGACAGUGCCCACGUAGGAGCUUUCCUGCUUGACAGAGUUGGAGAGUGCCAUUGUGGUUUUUGUUAAUAUAAAAGCAAUACCA
rnacentral:sRNA from 1 species